rnacentral:rRNA from 1 species
ACUCAAAUGAAUUGACGGGGGCUUUCACAAGCGGUGGAGCAUGUAGUUUAAUAUGACAACACACAUAAAACCUUACCAGCUCUUGACAUGUUGAAUUUUAAAUUAGUAAUAUAAUUUAAAGAAAAAUUUAAUACAGGCGUUGCAUGGCUGUCGUCAGUUCGUGUUGUGAAGUGUAUGGUUAAUUCCUAUAAGCGGGUAACGAAUGAAACCCUCGUUUUUAGUUGCUAAUAUUAUUUUUAUAAUAAGCACUUUAAAAAUAUAGCUUACAAACAGUAGGAGGAAGGUGAGGAUUACGUCAAGUCAAUAUGGCCCUUAUGAGCUGGGCUAUACACGUGCUACAAUUGAAUAAACAAUAAGGAGCAAUAAUGUGAAUUGGAGCAAAACUUUAAAUUAUUCAAAAGUACGGAUUAUUCUCUGCAACUCGAGAAUAUUAAGUUGAAAUCGCUAGUAAUCGCAAAUUAGCAAGUUGCGGUGAAUAUGUUCUAGGGCCUUGUACACACCGCCCGU